AGUGAACGCUGGCGGUAGGCCUAACACAUUCAAGUCGAACGGCAGCACAGUAAGAGCUUGCUCUUACGGGUGGCGAGUGGCGGACGGGUGAGGAAUACAUCGGAAUCUACUUUUUCGUGGGGGAUAACGUAGGGAAACUUACGCUAAUACCGCAUACGACCUACGGGUGAAAGCAGGGGAUCUUCGGACCUUGCGCGAUUGAAUGAGCCGAUGUCGGAUUAGCUAGUUGGCGGGGUAAAGGCCCACCAAGGCGACGAUCCGUAGCUGGUCUGAGAGGAUGAUCAGCCACACUGGAACUGAGACACGGUCCAGACUCCUACGGGAGGCAGCAGUGGGGAAUAUUGGACAAAGGGCGCAAGCCUGAUCCAGCCAUACCGCGUGGGUGAAGAAGGCCUUCGGGUUGUAAAGCCCUUUUGUUGGGAAAGAAAAGCAGCAGGUUAAUACCCCGCUGUUCUGACGGUACCCAAAGAAUAAGCACCGGCUAACUUCGUG
rnacentral:rRNA from 1 species